CCACUGUUCUCACCUCCGUUCCCCCCUCAGUGCUGAGGAAUAGACGCAGCCCAGAUCUCUGCUGGACAAAACAUCUGUUCAGCCUCUGAGGAAGUUCAGGCAGAGUGUGAGAGGGGGCGAGGACCUACAGUGCGCCCUUAUACAGCCCACAGGCUGUAUGGAGACUCCACGGGAUCCAAGAGGAAACUUCUAGACAGGGAAGUGCAGAGCGAAGAGGAACCGGAUUACAAUGAGGAAUCUGUGGAAGUGGCGCCUGUGGCGAUGUGUUUGGCGUCUGCUCCCUGCCCCCCCGCCUCCUCUCCCUCUCCCUGCAGCAGAUGGCUCUGGUCAGAGGUGGACAGGUAACAGACGACCCUGUAACUCCCCCCGGAGCACCUGAGCCCUGCCCUGCCCCGCCUGUCCCCCCUCCUUGUCCCGCCACCAACCUCAUCCACCCCUCUCGUCCAACUCCAGCCCUUUCUGCUCCUCCGUCAGCCCCGCUGCACCACCCUCCAACCCCUCCCUGCUCCUCAGCGUACCCCUCCCCUCCCUCCUCUCUCCUCUGGGCUGUAUCUGGUGGGCCAGCUCCCUCCUCCUCCCCCCAGUGGUGCAGGCCUUCUGGACGGAGCAGAUGGUAAGAGAGGGCCAGGAGGAGACGUCCUCUAACCUGGGAGCGCAGCCAGACCUGGCCCACAGCGAAUGCCUGAUGCCUGCCUAAUAGACCUGGAUCGGGCUUGCAAGAAAUCGUCUCUCUCGGUGUGUGUGUGCGUCUGCAUAUGGCCAUGUGUGUUUUUCACCAAGCCAACAUUACGCUGUUUUUGCUGUUGCAAUUAACUGUGUGUUAUUGGAAUGUGUGUUAUUUAAACCUCAGAGUAUUUGGCUGUUUCACUGAACCUUACAAGGGCCAGAAGACUCGAUGAGUCCAAAACACUGAUUCCCAAAUAGGGGUACUUGUACCCGAGGGGUGAGUGGUGGAAGUACAUUUACUCAAGAACUGUACUUAAGUACAAUUUUGAUAUGUUUUACUUGAGUGUUUCCAUUUUCUACUUCUACUCCAUUUCAGAGGGAAAUAGUGCACUUUUCACUCCACACAGCUCCAGCUCUAGACAACAGGGGGCCCGAGGCAAGAUUUUCUUUUGGGGCCUUGCCUGAAGUCGAGAACUAUGAAAUAAAACUACAAACUAUAUACUAUGACUAUACAGUAUACAUACUUUAACAAUGUAAAUCUAUUAAUUGUUUAAUGCUGUCAAUUUAACAUGACAGCGUUUAGACAUCCUACUAACACAAUGUAGCAACAACAUUUCUGCAAUCUCUUAGGUCGGUUUAAUACUUGCAUUACAUUAAUACACAAAACACACACACACACACACACACACACACACACAAACACACACACAAACACACAGUAAACAUGUCUUCAUUCAAUAGAUUUGCAUUAAGAAUUAUGCCCUCAGAGGAAAUCAGAGGUCUCAACAACAUCCUGAAUGCACACACAGUUAUCACACAUCGGCUCACAGACAGCACCAUAUAAAAGCAGAAAUACUCUGUAUUGUGUUUCUGGCUUUAACAGCAACACUAAAGUGGAAACAGGGGCACAAUCACAACCGCAUAUACUCCUUACCAGACUCCUUUAAAAAAUCUCACAGUUUUGUGAGCUGUUGAGAAACUUUAUAAACUUACAGAAACGCUGUCUACGUCAAAUUUGUCAUCUGGCCUGCAGCACCUGUGCCAAUCAAAUCUAUGCAUUAACAUCUCGUAUCCAUUGACACAGCGGCCCUCUGUGAUUGGCUCAACAUGUUCUGUCCACCUGACUGGAACCUAAUCAGUCUGACUGUACUUAUAUAUAGACACUGAGUUUUUGCGGGACAUUUCAACCCCUCUUGAGGUUUUCUAGUGGUCACAGGGACCCAAAGCAGGCGCUUAGUUCAUUUUUGCAUCAGGCCACUCUCCCUCCACAAGUCCUUGCUACUUUGCAGGUUAUUAAUACAAAAUAUAAUUAACCAAUAAAUUAUCAGGUCUUUUCAUAGGUCAAGAUAAGACUUUAUUGAUCCCCAGGGGGAAACAAUCAUACGCUACCACGUAGCAUAUUGGGUCAUUAAAAUUAGCCCCAACUUUACCAUGCAGCAACGUUAAAGUGAUGUACACGUUAACGUAUCAAUAAUUAUAAUACAUUAUUCUGAAGUAAUUAUUCUGCAUAAUGAGAACUUUACUUACUUUUGGUACUUUAAGUGUAUUUUGAGGCUCAAACUUUUAUACUUCUCUCAGUUUUUAAUGCAUGACUUCAUCUGUACUCUGUAGUAUUGCAACUUUUACUUAAGUAAAAGAUCUGAAUACUUGAUUGACUUAACUGAACUUCAGGAUAUUUGCUGCCUCUAUAAUGACGAAAACCACCAGCUUCAAUAGGCCGACUGCACAGGACACACCUGCUGCCAAUCUAAAUCAGCUGGAACACUUUCACACCACCUGACAUGUUUGAGAGACCAUGAAAACUUGUUAGCGAGUGUGCAAAGAAGUCAAAUCACUAAAGGUGCUGGAUAAAUGGAUCAACUUCUGCCGCUCCAGAUGGUAGCAUGAAUACAAGCUUGACCUGAAAAGAAGAAAAUAAGAGCAAGCCGUCGAUUUUUCCAGCAUCACUUUAUCUAUCGAUAAAAAAUAGAGCAGCAUUAUGUGUGGUGUUGAUGAAGGAGUACUUGACCUGGUGUUAUAGAGCUGUGGGGUCACAUCAAGAAACGCCGGUUGAAUGUAUUUACUGUGUAUGUAUGUUUGA